AGUCUUGAAAAAAUAAAUAUAGAUAGACCUCUAGGAGGCACUGUUACAUUAAAAAUAUGUAUACCUGAGAGAGGUACACCAAGUUCCCCAGAUCGUCAUAAUU